rnacentral:rRNA from 1 species
CGGGACGGGUGAGUAACGCGUGGAAAACCUGCCGUAUACUGGGGGAUAACACUUAGAAAUAGGUGCUAAUACCGCAUAAGCGCACAGCUUCGCAUGAAGCGGUGUGAAAAACUCUGGUGGUAUACGAUGGUUCCGCGUCUGAUUAGCUAGUUGGUGGGGUAAAGGCCUACCAAGCCGACGAUCUAUAGCUGGUCUGAGAGGACGAACAGCCACAUUGGAACUGAGACACGGUCCAGACUCCUACGGGAGGCAGCAG